GCUGGAGUGGCGGAAUUGGUAGACGCGCACGACUCAAAAUCGUGUCUCUUCGGAGGUGGGAGUUCGAUUCUCCCCUCCAGCACAA
rnacentral:tRNA from 1 species